rnacentral:rRNA from 1 species
AUUGAACGCUGGCGGCAGGCCUAACACAUGCAAGUCGAACGGUAACAGGAAGAAGCUUGCUUCUUUGCUGACGAGUGGCGGACGGGUGAGUAAUGUCUGGGAAACUGCCUGAUGGAGGGGGAUAACUACUGGAAACGGUAGCUAAUACCGCAUAAUGUCGCAAGACCAAAGAGGGGGACCUUCGGGCCUCUUGCCAUCGGAUGUGCCCAGAUGGGAUUAGCUAGUAGGUGGGGUAACGGCUCACCUAGGCGACGAUCCCUAGCUGGUCUGAGAGGAUGACCAGCCACACUGGAACUGAGACACGGUCCAGACUCCUACGGGAGGCAGCAGUGGGGAAUAUUGCACAAUGGGCGCAAGCCUGAUGCAGCUAUGCCGCGUGUAUGAAGAAGGCCUUCGGGUUGUAAAGUACUUUCAGCGUGGAGGAAGGGAGUAAAGUUAAUACCUUUGCUCAUUGACGUUACCCGCAGAAGAAGCACCGGCUAACUCCGUG